UACAUGCAAGUCGAGCGGAUCUUCAUUAGCUUGCUUUUGAAGAUCAGCGGCGGACGGGUGAGUAACACGUGGGCAACCUGCCUGUAAGACUGGGAUAACUUCGGGAAACCGGAGCUAAUACCGGAUAAUCCUUUCCCUCUCAUGAGGGAAAGCUGAAAGACGGUUUCGGCUGUCACUUACAGAUGGGCCCGCGGCGCAUUAGCUAGUUGGUGAGGUAACGGCUCACCAAGGCGACGAUGCGUAGCCGACCUGAGAGGGUGAUCGGCCACACUGGGACUGAGACACGGCCCAGACUCCUACGGGAGGCAGCAGUAGGGAAUCUUCCGCAAUGGACGAAAGUCUGACGGAGCAACGCCGCGUGAGCGAUGAAGGCCUUCGGGUCGUAAAGCUCUGUUGUCAGGGAAGAACAAGUAUCGGAGUAACUGCCGGUACCUUGACGGUACCUGACCAGAAAGCCACGGCUAACUACGUGCCAGCAGCCGCGGUAAUACGUAGGUGGCAAGCGUUGUCCGGAAUUAUUGGGCGUAAAGCGCGCGCAGGCGGUUCCUUAAGUCUGAUGUGAAAGCCCCCGGCUCAACCGGGGAGGGUCAUUGGAAACUGGGGAACUUGAGUGCAGAAGAGGAGAGCGGAAUUCCACGUGUAGCGGUGAAAUGCGUAGAGAUGUGGAGGAACACC
rnacentral:rRNA from 2 species